rnacentral:rRNA from 1 species
UACGUAGGGGGCAAGCGUUGUCCGGAUUUAUUGGGCGUAAAGAGCGUGUAGGCGGCUAGAUAGGUCCGUUGUGAAACUCGAGGCUCAACCUCGAGACGUCGAUGGAAACCAUCUGGCUAGAGUCCGGAAGAGGAGAGUGGAAUUCCUGGUGUAGCGGUGAAAUGCGUAGAGAUCGGCAGGAACACCCAGGGGGAAACCAGCCGACUGGCAUUGCUGACGCUGAGGUGCGAGAGCGUGGGAGCGAACCGG